AUCCAUUUAAGUUUGUGCGGGUGUAUCUUGUGAUUAUUAACAGUAAUACAUUCUAAAACGAGAUCAGAAUCGCAUUGGAAUUUGGGAGGAGGGGUCCAUGACCAUGUCCCAUGGUAUGGUAGGACCUACAUGUGAAUGGAUAAGAAAGAAAUAAAGGAUGAAAGGGAGAGGCUGCGUGGCAGUUGGUGAGUGGGGUCACACUUGGAAAGAUACAAAACAUUAUCUUCCUCAUCAUAAACAAUGACAUAAUCAAUAAUGGUGAUGUGUUGAGUGGGUCCUACUCGUCCUUGUGUGUUAUUAUAUUUGGCCAUCUCACUCACUGAGGUGUUCACCAUAGUAUUAAGCUAAUAAAUCAAAAUCAAGUGGAAUCAUUGGAAUGGAGAUUCACCACCCAUUUGAACUGAUUUUUUUGUGCAAGCCAAGGAGAAGGACCAAUUAGCUAUAAUAAUAAAUAAAAACAAAAUUAGGUGGAGUCUGUCUGUCUAAUGUUCAAUUCAAGCCGGCCACCGAAGAAGGCUUAAACUCACUGUGAAACGUCUGCACAAGAGUCUAUCUCUCACAAUAUCCAUAAUUCCAUUCUGUGAAUGUUACGUGACUGCCACGUGUAGCAUGAUCCCUACAAGCCAGGGUGAGAGGAGAUGAGCGGCCUGCGACAUGAAUAUAUGCACCAAGUUAAAUAGGACCCCGAACUGGAGCUGGCAGCGCACACGGAUGCAUGUCUUCCAUGUAGGAAGUGUGGGGUGGGGGGGAGAAGAGAGGAAGGAGGUGAUCAGGAAAUUCAAAACCAAUCAAACACGACGGCCACAAGAUGAAAGAGAUUAUUUUCCAGACAGAAAGGGAAAUUCAUAUUCUAUUCUAUAAAUACAUGUAACAGUUGUAACAAGCUCGUACACAUGACAUGAUAAUUUUCAUCUGCUUCUAAAUUGCUCGCUGUAUGCAGCAUAUGCCAGAGAACGCAGCUCUAAAUAUGAAACCUACCUGACACUCUUUAUUAAGAGUGGUCACUAUAUAUUCUAGUGAAAA